GCUUCGAUAGUGCAACGAUUGAGCACGUGCCCCUGUAUAGGGUGAAAUGUGGGUUCGAAUCCCAACUGACGCA